rnacentral:rRNA from 1 species
UACGUAGGGGGCGAGCGUUGUCCGGAUUUAUUGGGCGUAAAGAGCUCGUAGGCGGUGUGUCGCGUCGGCCGUGAAAAUCCGGGGCUCAACCCCGGACUUGCGGUGGGUACGGGCAGACUAGAGUGUGGUAGGGGAGACUGGAAUUCCUGGUGUAGCGGUGAAAUGCGUAGAGAUCGGGAGGAACACCAGAGGCGAAGGCGGCGACCUGGACAGUUUCUGACACUCAACUACGAAAGCGUGGGGAGCGAACGAGGAUUAGAUACC